rnacentral:rRNA from 1 species
ACUCAAAUGAAUUGACGGGGGCUUGCACAAGCGGUGGAGCGUGUGGCUCAAUUCGUCGCUAAGCGAAGAACCUUACCAAGGCUAGAAAUCCUACUGCACGCCUAUCGAAAGAUAGGAAGCCUUCGAGGGUGUAGGACAGGUGAUGCAUGGCUGUCGUCAGUUCGUGGUUUGAAUCGUUCCCUUCAGUGGGGUAACGAACGCAACCCUCGUUGCCUGUUACAAGUGUCAGGCGAGACUGCCCCCUCACGGGGGAGGAAGGUGAGGAUGACGCCAAGUCAGCAUGUCCCUCUGAUGCCUUGGGCUGCACACGCGCUACAAUCGCCACUACAGCGGGGCGCGACGGGGUAACCCUGAGCAAAUCCUUCAAAAGUGGCGCCAGUUCGGAUAGAGGUCUGCAACCCGACCUCUUGAAGCCGGAAUCGCUAGUAAUCGCGGGUCAGCCACACCGCGGUGAAUACGUUCUCAAGCCUUGUACACACCGCCCGU